AAGUCGUAACAAGGUUUCCGUAGGUGAACCUGCGGAAGGAUCAUUAAUGAAAAGUAUGGGCUCCGGCCCUCUCUCUUCUACACACACACUUGUGAACCUACACCGUUGCUUUGGCAGGUCUCCGGACGGCGGCGACUCCAAGUCCCCCUGAAGGUCAGACCGAGAGGUGCCUGCCAAAGACAUUUUACCACACCCUUUUUUUAUCGUCUGAUUUUUUUGUCUAUACAAAAUGAAAUAAAACUUUCAACAAUGGAUCUCUUGGCUCUG
rnacentral:misc_RNA from 1 species